rnacentral:rRNA from 1 species
AUUGAACGCUGGCGGCAGGCCUAACACAUGCAAGUCGAACGGUAACAGGAAGAAGCUUGCUUCUUUGCUGACGAGUGGCGGACGGGUGAGUAAUGUCUGGGAAACUGCCUGAUGGAGGGGGAUAACUACUGGAAACGGUAGCUAAUACCGCAUAACGUCGCAAGACAAAAGAGGGGGACCUUCGGGCCUCUUGCCAUCGGAUGUGCCCAGAUGGGAUUAGCUAGUAGGUGGGGUAACGGCUCACCUACGCGACGAUCACUAGCUGGUCUGAGAGGAUGACCAGCCACACUGGAACUGAGACACGGUCCAGACACAUACGGGAGGAAGCAGUCGGGAAUAUUGCACCAUGGGCGCAAGCCUGAUGCAGCCAUGCCGCGUGUAUGAAGAAGGCCUUCGGGUUGUAAAGUACUUUCAGCAGGGAGGAAGGGAGUAAAGUUAAUACCUUUGCUCAUUGACGUUACCCUCAGAAGAAACACCGGCUAACUCCGUG